AUAGGGGAGCCGGAGGGAAACCGAGUCUUAAUUGGGCGUUAAGUUGCAGGGUAUAGACCCGAAACCCGGUGAUCUAGCCAUGGGCAGGUUGAAGGUUGGGUAACACUAACUGGAGGACCGAACCGACUAAUGUUGAAAAAUUAGCGGAUGACCUGUGGCUGGGGGUGAAAGGCCAAUCAAACCGGGAGAUAGCUGGUUCUCCCCGAAAGCUAUUUAGGUAGCGCCUCGUGAAUUCAUCUCCGGGGGUAGAGCACUGUUUCGGCUAGGGGGCCAUCCCGGCUUACCAACCCGAUGCAAACUGCGAAUACCGGAGAAUGUUAUCACGGGAGACACACGGCGGGUGCUAACGUCCGUCGUGAAGAGGGAAACAACCCAGACCGCCAGCUAAGGUCCCAAAGUCAUGGUUAAGUGGGAAACGAUGUGGGAAGGCCCAGACAGCCAGGAUGUUGGCUUAGAAGCAGCCAUCAUUUAAAGAAAGCGUAAUAGCUCACUGGUCGAGUCGGCCUGCGCGGAAGAUGUAACGGGGCUAAACCAUGCACCGAAGCUGCGGCAGCGAACGUAUCACCCAAGACAACUUUACGGAGUUGACGAUUGACGGAGCGAAGCGACGUCAAAGCGUUCAUUAAAGUCGAGUUGGCUUAGGGAUACGUUCGUUGGGUAGGGGAGCGUUCUGUAAGCCUGUGAAGGUGUGUCGUGAGGCAUGCUGGAGGUAUCAGAAGUGCGAAUGCUGACAUAAGUAACGAUAAAGCGGGUGAAAAGCCCGCUCGCCGGAAGACCAAGGGUUCCUGUCCAACGUUAAUCGGGGCAGGGUGAGUCGACCCCUAAGGCGAGGCCGAAAGGCGUAGUCGAUGGGAAACGGGUUAAUAUUCCCGUACUUGGUGUUACUGCGAAGGGGGGACGGAGAAGGCUAUGUUGGCCGGGCGACGGUUGUCCCGGUUUAAGCGUGUAGGUGUGUGUUCCAGGUAAAUCCGGUUCACUUUAACACUGAGGCGUGACGACGAGGCACUACGGUGCUGAAGCAACAAAUGCCCUGCUUCCAGGAAAAGCCUCUAAGCAUCAGGUAACACGAAAUCGUACCCCAAACCGACACAGGUGGUCAGGUAGAGAAUACCAAGGCGCUUGAGAGAACUCGGGUGAAGGAACUAGGCAAAAUGGUGCCGUAACUUCGGGAGAAGGCACGCUGACACGUAGGUGAAGUGAUUUACUCAUGGAGCUGAAGUCAGUCGAAGAUACCAGCUGGCUGCAACUGUUUAUUAAAAACACAGCACUGUGCAAACACGAAAGUGGACGUAUACGGUGUGACGCCUGCCCGGUGCCGGAAGGUUAAUUGAUGGGGUCAGCGCAAGCGAAGCUCCUGAUCGAAGCCCCGGUAAACGGCGGCCGUAACUAUAACGGUCCUAAGGUAGCGAAAUUCCUUGUCGGGUAAGUUCCGACCUGCACGAAUGGCGUAAUGAUGGCCAGGCUGUCUCCACCCGAGACUCAGUGAAAUUGAACUCGCUGUGAAGAUGCAGUGUACCCGCGGCAAGACGGAAAGACCCCGUGAACCUUUACUAUAGCUUGACACUGAACAUUGAGCCUUGAUGUGUAGGAUAGGUGGGAGGCUUUGAAGUGUGGACGCCAGUCUGCAUGGAGCCGACCUUGAAAUACCACCCUUUAAUGUUUGAUGUUCUAACGUGGACCCGUAAUCCGGGUUGCGGACAGUGUCUGGUGGGUAGUUUGACUGGGGCGGUCUCCUCCUAAAGAGUAACGGAGGAGCACGAAGGUUGGCUAAUCCUGGUCGGACAUCAGGAGGUUAGUGCAAUGGCAUAAGCCAGCUUGACUGCGAGCGUGACGGCGCGAGCAGGUGCGAAAGCAGGUCAUAGUGAUCCGGUGGUUCUGAAUGGAAGGGCCAUCGCUCAACGGAUAAAAGGUACUCCGGGGAUAACAGGCUGAUACCGCCCAAGAGUUCAUAUCGACGGCGGUGUUUGGCACCUCGAUGUCGGCUCAUCACAUCCUGGGGCUGAAGUAGGUCCCAAGGGUAUGGCUGUUCGCCAUUUAAAGUGGUACGCGAGCUGGGUUUAGAACGUCGUGAGACAGUUCGGUCCCUAUCUGCCGUGGGCGCUGGAGAACUGAGGGGGGCUGCUCCUAGUACGAGAGGACCGGAGUGGACGCAUCACUGGUGUUCGGGUUGUCAUGCCAAUGGCACUGCCCGGUAGCUAAAUGCGGAAGAGAUAAGUGCUGAAAGCAUCUAAGCACGAAACUUGCCCCGAGAUGAGUUCUCCCUGAGACUUAGAGUCUCCUGAAGGAACGUUGAAGACGACGACGUUGAUAGGCCGGGUGUGUAAGCGCAGCGAUGCGUUGAGCUAACCGGUACUAAUGAACCGUGAGGCUUAACCUUACAACGCCGAAG
rnacentral:rRNA from 2 species